rnacentral:rRNA from 1 species
GAUGAACGCUGGCGGCGUGCCUAAUACAUGCAAGUCGAGCGAACAGACGAGGAGCUUGCUCCUCUGACGUUAGCGGCGGACGGGUGAGUAACACGUGGAUAACCUACCUAUAAGACUGGGAUAACUUCGGGAAACCGGAGCUAAUACCGGAUAAUAUAUUGAACCGCAUGGUUCAAUAGUGAAAGACGGUUUUGCUGUCACUUAUAGAUGGAUCCGCGCCGCAUUAGCUAGUUGGUAAGGUAACGGCUUACCAAGGCAACGAGGCGUAGCCGACCUGAGAGGGUGAUAGGCCACACUGGAGCUGGAACACGGUCCAGACUCCUACGGGAGGCAGCAGUAGGGAAUCUUCCGCAAUGGGCGAAAGCCUGACGGAGCAACGCCGCGUGAGUGAUGAAGGUCUUCGGAUCGUAAAACUCUGUUAUUAGGGAAGAACAAAUGUGUAAGUAACUAUGCACGUCUUGACGGUACCUAAUCAGAAAGCCACGGCUAACUACGUG